UACGUAGGGUGCGAGCGUUGUCCGGAAUUAUUGGGCGUAAAGGGCUCGUAGGCGGUUUGUCGCGUCGGGAGUGAAAUCCACUGGCUUAACUGGUGGCUUGCUUUCGAUACGGGCAGACUGGAGGUAUGCAGGGGAGAACGGAAUUCCUGGUGUAGAGGUGAAAUUCGUAGAUAUCGGGAGGAACACCAGUGGCGAAGGCAGCUCGCUGGGACGUUACUGACGCUGAGACGCGAAAGCGUGGGGAGCAAACAGG
rnacentral:rRNA from 1 species